CCAGAUAGUGAAAGCCGAGUAGUUGAAGCAAAAUAUCAAUAUUACGGCAUAAGCCCCACCCAUAACAUUCUAACCAAUCAUAUCCCACCUCUGUGUUCCGUACCGGCCCUUCUAACCAAUCACAGCUCACCUCUCAGAGUUCUGUACCGCAGGGAACUGCGUAGCUUGGCUCCGCUGUAGCUUCACUAGCUCCGUGUAUUAGCGGUGUUCCUGAAGUUCUCCGUCUUCAUUUUGUGAACUUUGAACUCGGUGAAUCUCGUGUCCAGCUCAGUUUUCUUCCCAGGAAUUCAGGAAAAGCGAACUUCCCUCCACUGUGGCCUGAUAAACGAAGAGACGGAUCGGAAGUUCUCCUCUGUCUGCUGGCUCAGCUGCCAUGUUGAUCCGCUCCGAACAAAGAGGCUUUUUCCAAGCCGCUGAACAACCCAGCUAUCCAGCAGCGUAUCAGGAGGAGGAAACCGCCGCAGACGCUUCAGGCUGAUGUUUGAGGAAGAAACGCCAGCGAAGCAGAAUUACAGUAACCAGGAGAAGAAAACUACCUGGAAAAGUUCCUCAAUCCUGAUUCUUCAAACUGAGAGUAAUCUGAUUACUUUCUGCUGAAGCAGCUCCAGUCACACCAAACACUCACAGAGAGGGAAACUGGAGGAAAAGCUUCCAGAACCACUUCCUGUGAGGGCCCAACUGCGCUUGGUGUCAGUAGAAUGAAACGGGUUAUUUAAUGAAUCCUGAUCGACCCAAAGCCUCUGAGAGCAACUAUCAAAAAUGUGUCGCAUUAAAUUAAUUCCCCAGAGGAAAAGGAACAGAUGGACGACUAAAAGAAGUUCCUCCACUCUCGGAUCAGCCUGAAAGAUUAAUAAAGUUUCCUGUCCAAUCAGAAAGCAGGAUCCGGUUAUCGGGUAGAAAAUGUUUAUAGUCCUUCCUGCAAUUCGUUUCUGAUGCCAGACUUUGUGGCUGAGUGAUUCAGCGUCACCCCUCCCCCACAUGUUGCUGCACCCUGCCUGUAAAUGACUGAAGGUCUCCAGCAUGUUUACAAAGCCGGUUGCUAAGGUAACGCUGUGUGAACGGCAGCAGGUGGCCAGAUUAUUUCAGAGUUUUUCUGAUGAGGAUUCAGCAGAACCUGGAACUUUGCUGCAGCUGCUGGAGGUUUGAUCUGAAGGGACAGAGAGUCAGGAUGUUUCAUGUAUGAGCCGCUCUGCAGAGAUCGGCUUCCCUUCGCUGUGGAUGCCGGAGAACAGCGGAGCAAACAGCGUCCGCCUCCCAGGAAGAGACGAUCAUCUGCUCAGAAUGACUGAAAUCACUCAACGUCGGAGGAUAAUGACAAAAAUGAGGAGAGAUGAAUCUGAGCCGCCUCGCCUGAUGCAGUUUGGAGAAUUUAAAUAAUGAAGGAUUCAAAUGCAGAACCAGAACCCCGAGUUCUGAAAAGUAUCCGACUCCAGCUGAAACAAACCGGGACGCCGUCAGCAGCAAGAAAUAUCUCACGUAGAAAAACUAUUUCUGUAACACUUUUACAGUUGGAACACAAGUAAUAGAUGAAUCUCUUCCUGCUGCCGCUGUUGGGGAAAUAUAAGGUAUGAAACUUGUUUACUGUAAAUGUCUAUCAGCUGAGGUUUCGUUCAAUAAUUAAAAUAAUAGCAGUAAUAACAACAA